rnacentral:piRNA from 1 species
UCUUUUCUCAUUUUACGGUUC